rnacentral:rRNA from 1 species
AGUGAACGCUGGCGGCGUGGCUUAGGCAUGCAAGUCGAACGAGAAAGGCUUCGGCCGAGUAGAGUGGCGAAAGGGUGAGUAAUGCAUAGAUAACCUACCCUCAGGACCGGAAUAACCGCUGGAAACGGCGGCUAAUGCCGGAUGGUCUGGUCGGGCGGCAUCGCCUGUCCAGUAAAUGGUAGCUUCCGGGCUUCUGCCUGAUGAGGGGUCUAUGUCCUAUUAGCUAGNGGUGAGGUAACGGCUCACCAAGGCGACGAUGGGUAGCCGGACUGAGAGGUUGACCGGCCACACUGGGACUGAGACACUGCCCAGACUCCUACGGGAGGCUGCAGUCGAGAAUCUUCCGCAAUGGACGCAAGUCUGGACGGGCGACGCCGCGUGCAGGAUGAAGGCC